rnacentral:tRNA from 1 species
GGCCCAGUGGUCGAGCGGUUAAGACGUAAUUCUUUCAAUAUUAACAUCGGGGAUUCGAAUUCCUCCUGGGUCA